UAGCCAGAUGCCAAAUGUUAAUAUCAACAA
rnacentral:piRNA from 1 species